rnacentral:lncRNA from 1 species
GCAGGUUACUCAUUUUUGGAUCCUAUGACAGAGAGGCAAAUGUUCAUUGCACACUUGAGUUAAGCAGUAGUGUUUGGGAAGAAAAACAGAGGAGUUCUAUUAAGACGGUUGAAUUAAUAAAAGGAAAUUUACAAAGUGUUGGACUUACACUUCGUCUUGUCCAGUCAACUGAUGGGUAUGCUGGGCACGUCAUCAUUGAAACUGUGGCUCCAAACUCGCCUGCUGCAAUUGCAGAUCUUCAGCGGGGAGAUCGACUUAUCGCCAUUGGAGUUCAAACUGAGAGAUGUCAUCUAACCUAAGAAGAGAUAGAAAGCAAUUAGGAGUUAGCAUCCUGGCACUCUUUUUGGGAUCCUGUGUCAUCAUCUGGUUUGAAAAGGUGUGAAAAUCACAUCAACACUGCAAGUGUUGAAGCUUAUCAAGCAGGCUGGUGACCGAGUCCUGGUGUACUAUGAAAGGCCUGUUGGCCAGAGUAAUCAAGGUGCAGUGCUGCAAGAUAACUUUGGCCAGUUGGAAGAAAACUUUUUGUCAAGCUCAUGCCAAUCGGGUUAUGAAGAGGAAGCUGCCGGGUUGACAGUAGAUACUGAAAGUAGAGAGCUGGAUUCUGAAUUUGAAGACUUGGCAAGUGAUGUCAGAGCACAAAAUGAGUUCAAAGAUGAGGCACAAUCAUUAAGUCAUAGUCCCAAACGUGUUCCAACAACACUUUCUAUUAAACCCCUUGGAGCUAUAUCACCAGUUUUAAA